rnacentral:tRNA from 1 species
GGGGGCAUAGCUCAGUUGGGAGAGCAGCAGACUGAAGGUUAACCGGAUUCUGAAGGUCCCGCGUUCAAUCCGCGGUGCCCCCA